GCGAGUGAAGCGGCAAAAGCUCAAAUUUGAAAUCUAGCACUUUCAGUGUUCGAGUUGUAAUUUGAAGAAGGUAACUUUCGAGUUGGCUCUUGUCUAUGUUCCUUGGAACAGGACGUCACAGAGGGUGAGAAUCCCGUGCGAUGAGAUGCCCAAUUCUUAGUAAAGUGCUUUCGAAGAGUCGAGUUGUUUGGGAAUGCAGCUCUAAGUGGGUGGUAAAUUCCAUCUAAAGCUAAAUAUUGGCGAGAGACCGAUAGCGAACAAGUACAGUGAUGGAAAGAUGAAAAGAACUUUGAAAAGAGAGUGAAAAAGUACGUGAAAUUGUUGAAAGGGAAGGGCUUGAGAUCAGACUUGGUAUUUUGUGUGCUCUUCCUUUUUGGUUGGGUUUCUGCAGCUUACUGGGCCAGCAUCGGUUUGAGUGGUAGGAUAAUGACAUUGGAAUGUAGCUUCGCUUCGGGGAAGUGUUAUAGACUUUGUUGAUGCUAUCUAUUUAGACCGAGGACUGCGUCUUUGACUAGGAUGCUGGCGUAAUGAUCUUAAGCCGCCC
rnacentral:rRNA from 1 species